rnacentral:rRNA from 1 species
GACGAACGCUGGCGGCGUGCUUAAUACAUGCAAGUCGAACGAACCGCGACUAGGUGCUUGCACUAGGCCAAGGUGAGUGGCGAACGGGUGAGUAACACGUGGGUAACCUACCUCAUAGAGGGGGAUAACAGUCGGAAACGACUGCUAAUACCGCAUAGGACAUAGGAUCACAUGAUACUGUGAGGAAAGGUGGCGCAAGCUAUCGCUAAGAGAUGGACCCGCGGUGCAUUAGCUCGUUGGUAGGGUAAAGGCCUACCAAGGCGGUGAGGCAUAGCCGACCGGAGAGAGGGAUCGGCGACAUGGGGAGUGAGACGGGGCCAAUGCGCCUGCGAGAGGCAGCAGUAGGGAAUCUGCGGCAGUAGACGGAAGUCUGACGGAGCAAGGCGGCGUGAGUUAAGAAGGUGUUCGGAUCGGGAAGCUCUGUUGUUAGAGAUGAACAGCGCAUAGAGUAGCUGUUAUGCGUGUGACGGUAUCUAGCCAAAAAGCCACGGCUAACUACGUG